rnacentral:lncRNA from 1 species
UUUUUUAUUGGUGUUCAAAAUUUGCCAACAUGUAGAAUAACACCCAGUGCUCAUCCCAUCAAGUGCCCCCCUCAGUGCCCGUCACCCAGUCAGAGUUGAAAGAAUUUCUAAGCUUGCCUAAGGAGCCGGUGUCUUCAAAGGACAGGUAUUCUAGUUCCACGUGCUUUACGAGUCAAAAGGAUGGCUGCUGUCUGAAGGCCUUCGUGAGAUUGUAAUUGAUCUCCUAGAAUAUUCAAGGUCCAACCCAUACUUAAGGAAGGAGACUUUAUGACUCUCGGAAGGGGGAUAAGUGGGGAUCUCUGGGUGGCUCAGCGGUUUAGGGCCUGCCUUCAGCCCAGGGUGUGAUCCUGGAGUCCCGGGAUCGAGUCCCACAUCGGGCUGCCUGCAUGGAGCCUACUUCUCCCUCUGCCUGGGUCUUUGCCACCCCCACCCUGUGUCUAUCAUGAAUAAAUAAAUAAAAAUCUUUAAAUUUAAAAAAAAGGAUAAGCCUGCAAGAGGUGUCAUGGACAAACUGAGGGGGAUAAAAAAAAAGAAGAAGAAAUGCUGAUAUUGUUCAGUACCAAAGCAUCCUAAUUAUGUACAUUUAUACAUUAAAUUGAAUACGGGGAUUCAAACACAGAUCUGAAUGCCCCGGUGUGAAAUAUUAUGGAUAGUUACCACCAUUUAGUUACAGUUUAUUAUGUGUCAAACCCCUGUGAUUUACUUUCCAUUUGUGAUUUUUAAUUCAUUUAUAUUUUUAAUUGUAUUUCCAUUCAUAUUUUUAAUUUUAAUUGCAUUCAUUUAUAACUGCAAUAUAUUUUCCAGGUUGAUAUUCUAAUCUGCUCCAUUAAACACAAUAUAAUUGAUAAAAAGGUGAACUUGACCAAGGUCAUAAAGCCAGUGACUGGUUGUGGUGGACUUUUCCAGUAUCAUCAAUUAUCUCUUUUUCUUACUAAUACUGAUUUUAUUGGGAUUAGCAAUGUGCCCAGGUUAAUUAAUCAUUUUUUUAAGUCAUGUUUUCAUCCUUCCCACACUUAGUAGUGGUUCUGUGUGACACAGCUCCAUCAAAAGAGAUGUAAGCAAACACUGUUGGGUAGGACUUCUCAAAAAAAGGAAAAAAAGAAAGAAAAAAGAAAAGAAAAGAAAAGAGAAAAGAAAAGAAAAGAGAAAAGUAAAGAGAAAAAAAAAGAAAAGAAAAGAAAAGAAAAAGAAAAGAAAAGAAAAGAAAAGAAAAGAAAAGAAAAGAAAAGAAAAGAAAAGAAAAGAAAAGAAAAGAUUUAACUUUUUUUCUUUUUUGUCCUUCCUCCUUUACUCAUUUUCAUUCUAGAUUAGAAUACAGAUGUGAUGGUUGGAGUAGUAACCACUUUAGAACUGUGGGAAAAAUACAAAUAAAAUCAAAGUCUUUGGCUUUGACCUUAUCAAGCUACUUCAUGUCAAAAAAAAAAAAUCUACUUGCCUAUUUCUAUUAUAUCUAUAAAAAAAUUAAAACACAAAUACGUAGGUACAGGGUUGAUGUUUGGGGUGUGGUGACAAGCAGCUCCACUCAUUACAUGCUGAUACAGGGGCAUACCCAGGAUUUGAGCUCAGCUCCAUCUGGUCAUAAAAGGUUUGUGCUUUCAAUCACUGUGUGAGCACGACAGCGAGUAUCGGAUGGAGACAGCAAGACACGCCCAACCCACGCAAGCCAUAAUCCUCGACUGAAAGCACUCAUUCUCUUCCCUGGCAUGAAGGUACUUUGCUUCAUUUCAGCAAGGACAGGUAUUAUCAAGUUUUGAAAAGGCAACCUUACACUAUCUCCAGGGACGCUCCCACGGAAGCCACUGGACUACGUCCCUUCAGAUGUUGUCAUUAAAUAGAGGACCCAUAUGUUAGCCCAUCUUUCUGUCCUUGGCCAGCUGGAGGAAAAAUAAUGCAGCACAAACCUCUCAUCAUUAAACCCAUUCCUUCUCUGCAACUGGUCUUACUCCUUUCCCAGUAACUUAUUGCUCCAGACUCCCCUCCUUUCCAUAAUCCAUCUAAGGUGCUCCACCACUCCCUGAGCUCCAGACCUGAUUCAGAGUCUCUCUGAACUUGUCUGCUCUCCGUUAAAUUGUUUAGGUGUCUCCUACCUGAAGGACACAAACGAGGCCAUUUGGAUGGGUUAACCUUUGAAUGUUAAUACUUUAACUAUUUUUAUUGAUUUAUUAUUAUUAUUUUAAUUUCGAGAGAGAGAGGGUGGGAGCGGGGGGUGGUGAGGGGUGGGGAAAUGCAGAGGAAGAGGGAGAGAGAGAACCCCAGGCGGGAUCCACGCCCAGCACGGAGCCCGACAGGUGGCUCGACCUCACCACCCUGAGGUCACGACCUGAGCUGAAACCAAGACUCAGACGCUUAACUGGCUGAGCCACCCAGGGGCCCC